rnacentral:rRNA from 1 species
AAUCAACGCUGGCGGCAUGCCUAACACAUGCAAGUCGAACGGGAAAGUGGGAGCAAUCCCAUGAGUAUAGUGGCGCACGGGUGAGUAACACGUGACUAACCUACCCUCGAGUGGGGAAUAACCCCGGGAAACCGGGGCUAACACCGCAUAAUACCGCAAGGUCAAAUGCGCAAGCAGCUUGAGGAGGGGGUCGCGGUUGAUUAGCUAGUUGGUAGGGUAAUGGCCUACCAAGGCAGUGAUCAAUAGCCGGCCUGAGAGGGCGCACGGCCACACUGGAACUGAAACACGGUCCAGACUCCUACGGGAGGCAGCAGGUGGGGAAUUUUGCGCAAGUGGGGGAAACCCUGACGCAGCAAUGCCGCGUGGAGGAUGAAGUCCUUUGGGAUGUAAACUCCUUUCGAUCGGGAAGAUAAU